rnacentral:rRNA from 1 species
ACAUGCAGCCGAGCGGUAUUUCUUCUUCGGAAGAGAGAGAGCGGCGUACGGGUGCGUAACACGUGUGCAACCUACCUUUAUCUGGGGAAUAGCCUUUCGAAAGGAAGAUUAAUACCCUAUAAUAUAUUGAAUGGCAUCAUUUAAUAUUGAAAACUCCGGUGGAUAGAGAUGGGCACGCGCAAGAUUAGAUAGUUGGUGAGGUAACGGCUCACCAAGUCAAUGAUCUUUAGGGGUCCUGAGAGGGAGAUCCCCCACACUGGUACUGAGACACGGACCAGACUCCUACGGGAGGCAGCAGUGAGGAAUAUUGGACAAUGGGUGAAAGCCUGAUCCAGCCAUCCCGCGUGAAGGAUGACGGUCCUAUGGAUUGUAAACUUCUUUUGUACAGGAAUAAACCUACUCUCGUGAGAGUAGCUGAAGGUACUGUACGAAUAAGCACCGGCUAACUCCGUGCCAGCAGCCGCGGUAAUACGGAGGGUGCAAGCGUUAUCCGGAUUUAUUGGGUUUAAAGGGUCCGUAGGCGGACCCGUAAGUCAGUGGUGAAAUCUCAUAGCUCAACUAUGAAACUGCCAUUGAUACUGCGGGUCUUGAGUAAAUUUGAAGUGGCUGGAAUAAGUAGUGUAGCGGUGAAAUGCAUAGAUAUUACUUAGAACACCAAUUGCGAAGGCAGGUCACUAAGAUUUAACUGACGCUGAGGGACGAAAGCGUGGGUAGCGAACAGGAUUAGAUACCCUGGUAGUCCACGCCGU